AGCUCCAAUAGCGUAUAUUAAAGUUGUUGCGUUUAAAAAGCUCGUAGUUGGAACUUUUGAGCUUGCAGUCGGUCCACCUAACAGUGCGCACUGGCUGUGGGCUCAACACUUUUUGGGCGCCAGCGUGUUCUUUACUGAGCGCGUUGGCAGUCCCAAGACUUUUACUUUGAAAAAAUUAGAGUGUUCAAAGCAGGCUUUCGCUUGAAUACAUUAGCAUGGAAUAAUAGAAUAGGACCAUGGUUCUAUUUUGUUGGUUAAAGAACCAAGGUAAUGAUUAAUAGGGACAGUUGGGGGUAUUAGUAUUUCGGGGCUAGAGGUGAAAUUCUUGGAUUCCCGAAAGACUAACUACUGCGAAAGCAUCUACCAAGGAUGUUUUCA
rnacentral:rRNA from 1 species